UGCAGUCGAACGCCCCGCAAGGGGAGUGGCAGACGGGUGAGUAACGCGUGGGAACAUACCCUUUCCUGCGGAAUAGCUCCGGGAAACUGGAAUUAAUACCGCAUACGCCCUACGGGGGAAAGAUUUAUCGGGGAAGGAUUGGCCCGCGUUGGAUUAGCUAGUUGGUGGGGUAAAGGCCUACCAAGGCGACGAUCCAUAGCUGGUCUGAGAGGAUGAUCAGCCACAUUGGGACUGAGACACGGCCCAAACUCCUACGGGAGGCAGCAGUGGGGAAUAUUGGACAAUGGGCGCAAGCCUGAUCCAGCCAUGCCGCGUGAGUGAUGAAGGCCUUAGGGUUGUAAAGCUCUUUCACCGGAGAAGAUAAUGACGGUAUCCGGAGAAGAAGCCCCGGCUAACUUCGUGCCAGCAGCCGCGGUAAUACGAAGGGGGCUAGCGUUGUUCGGAAUUACUGGGCGUAAAGCGCACGUAGGCGGAUAUUUAAGUCAGGGGUGAAAUCCCAGAGCUCAACUCUGGAACUGCCUUUGAUACUGGGUAUCUUGAGUAUGGAAGAGGUAAGUGGAAUUCCGAGUGUAGAGGUGAAAUUCGUAGAUAUUCGGAGGAACACCAGUGGCGAAGGCGGCUUACUGGUCCAUUACUGAC
rnacentral:rRNA from 2 species